rnacentral:misc_RNA from 1 species
ACAGAUACCAGUUUUAACA